rnacentral:miRNA from 1 species
UGAGGGGCCUCAGACCGAGCUUUU